rnacentral:lncRNA from 1 species
ACAUGAGGGUGAAUAAAUGACAAUUGUAAUUUAAAGAAUAAUAAUUAUAAUUUGGCUGAACUACUCUUUAAGCUUGUUUUGAACACAGAAUAAUGCUUUAAUACACCCUGAUAGUAUUAAUUAGUGAAAUUAAGGAUGUGUAUUAUAUGUUUUCUUUUCUGGGAAUAGUGGAAUAACUACAUUUUUUUCAAUACUUAAAGUUUUUUUCCUUAGCGAUUUCUCCAUCUUUGUGGUAUUUUUUUGUUUCAGGCUAGAAAUGUUAAUUAUGACUACCAUAUAUCAUUGUGGCUGACUGCUCUUUGAUGUGCUUCAUGUGUAUCUGUACAUUUUUCAUCACAUUUUUUCCCUUUGUGUUUGCGGACUUGUGCUAAUGUGGGUGAAAUGUGCCACUCUACUCACUCUAGUCUUCUUUUUUCAGCUCUAUACACAUAGUUUUUGUCGUUUUUUCUCACUCUGAAUUUUCUUUGGCUUUAACUGAGAUUUACAAACACUAACAUCAUUCUGUCAACCUCAUGUUAGAAAUCAGACUAUGGAAACAUUUAGUAGAUGUUAGUGUGUUAAUAUCUUUGCCUAAAUGUAGUAUUUUUAUUCAUUUAUGAUGUAUGUAUUUAUACAUCAUCUGUACGUAUCUUUGAAAAUCAUUUCAUGCCCGCAGUGUAGCUCUUUAGAGAAGAAAACACUAUAUUUAGAUCAAUCAUUCAUCACAGCUCUCCAAACUAUGUUUUUUUUUUUUUUUCCUCACGGCUGUCUCGCACACAAAUGUUUGUUUAAAAAUAUUUGACAGAUCUACGGAUCAAGUUUGUUUUCAUUUUAGGUUUUGUAAGAUGGGUGCACAUUGUAACCCAGAGGUUGAGAAGAGACGCAGUGCUGGCACUGAUAGAUUCAUGUUUAUCUCACUCAUUUGCUCAAACAUUUGUCUUGUACGGUAAUGGUUCACUGCUCAACACAGAUGCUCCCUAUCAGUAAAAGAGAGUCAGUGGAAUAUAUUUUCUCGAAGUGGAAAGGUCCAAGCAACGCUAAUUUAUUAAAGUUUUCCUAGCUUUGAUUACUACCAUCUGAUAAAAAUAAUCAUAUUCAUAGUUUGUGUCACUGUGCGAAUUCUGCCAUCAGAUUAUACAGUGCAUUUUAUAAAGUGCGUUGCUAAAUGCAUAAUAUUGUAUAAUUUUAUAAAGAUCACCAUAGUUAAAUUAUUCAAGAUGCAAAUAUGUGAGAUAUGUGAGAUAAAUCACAAAUUAUGGCAAAGAAUAUCAAAACAAAAUACACAUUGCUGCAAUUAAAAACAACUCCUUUAAAAAAUGAGUUGCAUUAAUUGUAUUAAUAGAGCAAAAUCUUAAAUUCACUACAUGAAGAGAAUUGCACUGUAUAAUUUACGGCAUUUACAGUCACUUCUAAAUAUAAAUUAUGUCAAAUUAAAGACAGCAGUUAGAUAUAUUAAUAAUUCACUCUUAUUUUUGACCAGCUUCAUUAUUUACCCAUUAUAAAGAGUGAAAAUAGGUCCAUGUCUAGCGAUUACCCUUUAACAAUCUUUAUGCAUAAACCUUUUUGAAUGCAUUCAUGCAAAUUCAACAUGAAAUCAUUAUUUCAUCACUGCUUUGUUAACUUCUUCCUCUCCUUUCCUGCAUCUUAUCACUUUGUCUGCUUCAAGUCUUUCUGUGUAGUUUUAUUUUCAUUUCAGACAUCUUUGGGAAAUAUUUGUUGAGUAAAGAAGUCUUUUUUGGUUUUAAUGAUAAAGUUUUUCCAUCAAGCUUUUUUUCUUUGAAGGACAGCGUUGGGGAGACAGUGGAUAGCAAUCUGGCAUGCAAACAUCCAAAACAAAAAGGGAAAAAAAACUCAAUCAGUUUAAACAAACACACAUUUCGUGUGCACAAGGAGCCUGACAGCAGCCAGUGCUAGACACACAGACACCUGAUCUCACAAAUCAUAGAGUCCAUCUGAGAUUACAUGAUAAAACUGAGACAGACUAAAUCUAGAAGAACUCUGGCAACAUACUUCAAGAUGCUUCUAGAAACAUACCUGCAAUACAUGGAUUAAAACUAUUCAGUGAAAAUACUAAUGGCCUAAGACUUUUGCACAGUGCAGAUUAUUAACUGUACUAUAAGUAGACAUUUGUGGUUUAACAACUUAACAUAAUUUUUUGUCUUUAUCUAUGAUAUAUUAAUAUUUAAUAUCUUUAAUUUAUUUUUUUUAAAAAGUUGUAAAAAAAUCAAAUAUACAUUUGUUCCUGUUGGUUUUAGAGAUUUUUUUUCCGCUCCAAAUUGCCAGUUCUAGAAUUUGAUCCAGCUGUGGUGGUGCUCAGGAAAAGUUCAAACAUAGCUUUAGAGCAACUGUCAGCUUUCAAGCGUUCUAUUCUCCAGUGGUAUAAAUACAAAAUACAAUAAAUGCAAAUAGGGCUACAGUUUUUGCCUGGCAGAUGUUUGAAAUGUGUGAAUAUUAAUUAAUUAAUUUAAUAUUACUUUAAUUUUUAAUUUUUUUAAAAGUAGAAAAAAUCAAAUAUACAUUUGUUCCUGUUGGUUUUAGAGAUUUUUUUUCCGCUCCAAAUUGCCAGUUCUAGAAUUUGAUCCAGCUGUGGUGGUGCUCAGGAAAAGUUCAAACAUAGCUUUAGAGCAACUGUCAGCUUUCAAGCGUUCUAUUCUCCAGUGGUAUAAAUACAAAAUACAAUAAAUGCAAAUAGGGCUACAGUUUUGCCUGGCAGAUGUUGAAAUGUGUGAAGAAAAAAAAUCCUAUAGAUUUUCUUUAAAGGGGAGAUCCACAUAAUUUAUAGAGACCCAAAUAUAGAGACAUGAGCAGAGGAGUUGCUCUUUUGAUCUGGGACAAAAGCAACUACCUAUCCAUGCCCUAGCAACGGUCCAGAACUCCCUACCAACCACAUGGCAGCGCCCUGGCAACCACUCACAACAAAAGCAUCACGCUUGUCGUUAACUUUGCGAGGGCAAGAACCACUCGCAUUUCCUUCAAAACAAGUUUUACAAAUUUCUCUUGAUUCUCCGCUUCAUAGUGUUCAGAAUCAUCUUUAUAUAAAGUGAUAAUACUUAUAUAAGUGAUUUACUUUUCCUUAACUAUAAACAUUUGUUUACAUUUCAUGUGUGUGUGUGUGUGUGUGUGUGUGUGUGUGUGUGUGUGUGUGUGUGUGUGUGUGAAAUUAAAUGUAAAAUUACAAUUUAGUUUAAGGAUAAAUAAAAUGCUAGGUAUAAAAUUACUGAAUGAAUUCCAUUUUAUACAAUGUCACAGAAUUUUAUUUUUAUUUUGAUAUGUGCAUUUCACUAAAUAAUAAGAGAAUUCUCCUUCCUUAUGAUUUAUGUAUGUCUGUUGCUGGAAAUUGUUAAUAAUACAAUUUGAAGAUAAAUUAUAAUAGUGAGAAUAUAAGAAGCCGCCUUUUUUCUUUUUUUUUUCUUUUUUUCUGGAAGUG